rnacentral:pre_miRNA from 1 species
AAAAAGACAAACCCUGGUUUCCGUAUCCAACAUUUGACCGUCCGUCUUAUUUAAAAAAAUUAUGAAAAAAAUUAAAAAGACAAGUCACGCAUAAAAUAUUAAUCAUGUUUUAUCAUCUAACAACAACAAAAAUACAAAUUAUAAAAAAAUUUCAUAUAAGACGGACAGUCAAAGUUAGACACGAAAACCCAGGGUUUGACUUUUU